rnacentral:rRNA from 1 species
UACGGAAUGUGCAACAGUUAUUCGGAAUCACUGGGCUUAAAGAGUCCGUAGGCGGCAUGUUAGGUGAGGUGUGAAAUCCCCCCGGCUCAACCGAGGAAUUGCGCUUCAAACCGGCGUGCUUGAGGAAGAUAGAGGUGGGCGGAACUGAUGGUGGAGCGGUGAAAUGCGUUGAUAUCAUCAGGAACACCGGAGGCGAAAGCGGCCCACUGGGUCUUUUCUGACGCUGAGGGACGAAAGCUAGGGGAGCGAACGGG